UAGUACAGAAAGAGAAAAGGAUUUCGGCUA
rnacentral:piRNA from 1 species